rnacentral:rRNA from 1 species
CCUACGGGAGGCAGCAGUGAGGAAUAUUGGUCAAUGGACGGAAGUCUGAACCAGCCAUGCCGCGUGCAGGAAGACGGCUCUAUGAGUUGUAAACUGCUUUUGUACAAGGGUAAACCUGAAUACGUGUAUUCAGCUGAGAGUACUGUACGAAUAAGGAUCGGCUAACUCCGUGCCAGCAGCCGCGGUAAUACGGAGGAGCCAAGCGUUAUCCGGAUUUAUUUGGUUUAAAGGGUGCGUAGGCGGAUUGUUAAGUUAGAGGUGAAAUGUCCGAGCUUAACUCGGGAACUGCCUUUAAUACUGUUGGUCUAGAGAGUAGAUGCGGUAGGCGGAAUGUAUGGUGUAGCGGUGAAAUGCUUAGAGAUCAUACAGAACACCGAUUGCGAAGGUAGCUUACCAAUCUAUAUCUGACGUUGAGGCACGAAAGCGUGGGGAGCAAACAGGAUUAGAUACCCCAGUAGUC